rnacentral:rRNA from 1 species
UACGAAGGGGGCUAGCGUUGUUCGGAUUUACUGGGCGUAAAGCGCGCGCAGGCGGCAUACCAAGGAUUCAGUGAAAUCUCCCUGCUCAACGGGGAGGGUGCUGAGUAGACUGGUAAGCUAGAGGACGGUAGAGGGGGGUAGAAUUGCUGGUGUAGCGGUGAAAUGCGUAGAGAUCAGCAGGAAUACCCGUGGCGAAGGCGGCCCCCUGGGCCGUUUCUGACGCUGAGGCGCGAAGGCUAGGGGAGCGAACGGG